rnacentral:rRNA from 1 species
CCUACGGGAGGCAGCAGUGGGGAAUUUUGGACAAUGGGGGCAACCCUGAUCCAGCCAUGCCGCGUGAGUGAAGAAGGCCUUCGGGUUGUAAAGCUCUUUCAGCAGGAAAGAAACGGUACGGGUUAACACCCUGUGCUAUUGACGGUACCUGCAGAAGAAGCCCCGGCUAACUACGUGCCAGCAGCCGCGGUAAUACGUAGGGUGCGAGCGUUAAUCGGAAUUAUUGGGCGUAAAGCGUGCGCAGGCGGAUUGUUAAGCAAGAUGUGAAAUCCCCGGGCUUAACCUGGGAAGGGCAUUUUGAACUGGCAGUCUAGAGUGCGUCAGAGGGGGGUGGAAUUCCACGUGUAGCAGUGAAAUGCGUAGAGAUGUGGAGGAACACCAAUGGCGAAGGCAGCCCCCUGGGAUGACACUGACGCUCAUGUACGAAAGCGUGGGGAGCAAACAGGAUUAGAUACCCUGGUAGUCCACGCCCUAAA